rnacentral:piRNA from 1 species
UGUAGGAUAAUGCACUUCCUAU